GGCAUCUUCAAAGUCCAAAAUGUCAGGCUCUUAUGAGAAGGUGACUGAUCACAUGACUAGAGACGCUGGUUACUGAUGGACGAUUCAUCAGGCUCAUCUUGAAGACUGCUGAAGGGACUUGGCUGGAAUGGAGUGGCCUGUGAUAGACAAAAGCAAAUCCAUGGCAAUGACAGCUCCCUAUCCAUCAUGCAAGAUGUGCAUGCAUCUUCAAAGGCCAAAAUGUCAGGCUCUUAUGAGAAGCUGACUGAUCACAUGACUAGAGACGCUGGUUACUGGUGGACGAUUCAUCAGGCUCAUCUUGAAGACUGCUGAAGGGACUUGGCUGGACUGGAGUGGCCUGUGUUAGACAAAAGCAAAUCCAUGGCAAUGACAGCUCCCUAUCCAUCAUGCUAGAUGUGCAUGCAUCAUCAAAGUCCAAAUUAAAAGACUUUAUACAUUUGACAGAAUGUUAGAAGUGAAUGAAAUAUUAUUUUCCAACUUUGCUAUUUUGAGUUUUGUGAGGUGACACUUUGGAUGUCAUUGCCUUGGAUUUGCACAACCUUAACGAAAGAUCAAAACAAUCAAAGUUGCAUUCCCCGUGCUCUUCAGCGAAUUAAUUUUUUUUUCUCGUAAAUGUUCAACUUUUAUGUUUUAUAUCCAACCCCAAAACUCAACUGGGCACAAACAGAUCCACUUUCUGAGCAGACUAACUCCCGGUCCGUACAUUAUUAUUUACGAUUGUGAAGUGGGAACCAGCCUAUACCGUACAAGAACAAAUUUAUUGUUGAGACGCAGUUACUUCAAAAUUUAGGCCGCUUUUCUUUUCACAUGUUUUAUUCAAAGCGAAUAACUCUUGUUUUGCAAAAAAAAAUAGCAAUAUUAGAAUUCAAAUCCAUUUUUCAAGAUGAAACUUGAAAAUAGCACAGGGAAUGCAGCUUUAAACUUUAAAGAAACGUACAUGAAAAUUGAAAUGGAAAAUAAAUUAUAUAUAACAGUUGUUCCAGGCACAUGUCAAAAAUUCUGAAUUUGUGUUAUAAACUUAAAGAAGAUAACUACACAUUGCAAAAAUUUUACAAAAAGGAAACAAUUGUUUAAAUUUUGGCAAGAGGCCUGAUUACAGACCUAACUUUUUCAGACUUGUCAGUCUUAACAAGAAUACACUCUGUAUCCAAAUAUUUACACUGAUAAUUCCCUGACUCUUCAUUUUGUAUUAAAAGGGUAUGCACUUCAGGUCCUUAUGGAACAAAACUUGAACCUAUAAUAUUAUUUUCUGUACUUGUUAACGACCUGCACAAACAUUACUUGACAAGAAUGUCUCAAAAGUAAGGAAAUUGUGGAAUGUUUUGCAAUAAGGACUGUUUUUUUUAUUGGUUUAUUCUUUAGCCUAAUUAAAAGAAAUUCAGAAUUUGUUUGACAUGUGCCUGGUUCAUAAUGUUCAGCUUGUGAUAAAUUGUACAAUGAAAAAAACUUUACAUUUUUAAUCUUAAUAUUUACCAUGCUUUUAAUUAUAUGGAUCUACAUGUAGAAUGGCACAUCAUUAUUUAGUAGUUGUGUGAAUGUCUUUGAUGUCUGUUACUGGUAAUAUUACAGCAAUUUAAUUAAAGUUGGUGUAUGCGUGUUUUUUUCCCAAAUUUCGAUUUUCUUUUCCCUGAAAAUAAUGCCCUGCAACAAAUAAAUUUGCUUUUUUAUGGCGUGCUCCAGGUCAAAAAUUGCGCACACUAUUCAGAACGAAUUAGGAGCAUUCGCUCUUAAUUAAUUCAAAAAGUUGAAAUUAACUAAUUGAUUGCUUGUCGUAGGCCUAUAUAUUUGUUCGUGCGAUGUCUCAUUGGGAAACUCAUAAUUAAUCAAUUCAAUCUGAAAAUCUAUUUUGCAAGGUGCCACAUCGAAAAAGCACAUAAACACCAACUUUAAGGUAUUCCAUUUAUUAAUAAAAUUGGAAAAGUUGUUUUUACACUGAGAAUCCAGAUUUUUGCAACUUGCGGUAUAAAACACACUCAUACGGUGGCAACCUAGCUUAGUUGAGAAAUUGGUCUUAUUAAAAAAGUCGUUUGUGACUUGAUCGAUGUCCGCUACUAAAAUUAGAUAAGGCCAAAAAAAA
rnacentral:lncRNA from 1 species